rnacentral:snRNA from 1 species
AUGAGAUUAUGAUGGAGU